GAGACAUUCACAGUAUUAUUCACACUACUCGACUUUGUUUCAUUUGUUUCUUAUUUGAAACCUUCACAACACAUAUUCCACAACUCAAUUUUUAUUUUUCACUAUUUUUCUUCCAAGCAAGCAUUCAUUUUCAUUCUUUCUAUUUUUGUUCUUUUCUUUCACAUCAUAUAUACAAAACAGAUGUUUCUUUUCUAUAUUUUCUAUACAUAUAUUUUUCUAUGCUUGCUCGGUUUUUCUUUUCUUUUUCAAGAGUUGUGGUACUUACCAAUUCUUU
rnacentral:lncRNA from 1 species